GACGAACGCUGGCGGCGUGCUUAACACAUGCAAGUCGAACGGAAAGACCCCCAUUUUUUGGUUGGGGGUGCUCGGGGGGGGAACGGGGGGGUAACACUUUGGGAAUCUACCUUUUCCUUCGGGAUAAGCUUGGGAAACUGGGCCUAAUACCGCAUAGGACCAGGGUUUAGUUUCUCAGGGUGUAAAAAUUUUUGUUUGGGUGAAGAAUGAGCUCGGGGACUAUCAGCUUGUUGGGGGGUUAAUGGCCUACCAAGGCGUCGACGGGUAGCCGGCCUGAGAGGGUGGCCGGCCAGAGUGGGACUGAGAUACGGCACAGACACCUACGGGAGGCAGCAGUGGGGAAGAUUGCAGAAGGGGAGCCAGCCUGAUGCAGCGACGCCGCGUGGGGGAUGCCGGCGGUCGGGUUGUAAACUCCUUUCGUUAGGGACGACGCCGCACCUUUUUUGGGUGUGGUGACGGUACCUUUGUUAAGAAGCACCGGCUAACUACGUG
rnacentral:rRNA from 1 species